GCGCUCCUGUGCAGGGGAGUGGGGAGAAAGGGGAGCAGUCAGGGGCUGGGAGAUUUCCAAAGGAAGUUUCUCUUGGUCUCAAAGUCCUGCUGAACUUUGGAGGCCUGUACCCAGGUGAGCAGCAACUCAUAUCCCAGCCCUUCGAUCCCAGUGUGCUUUCUACCGCUGUGAUAAAACGCCAUGACCAACGACAACAUCAGGAAGAAAGGGUUUGUUUCUGCUUACAAGUCACUGAGGGAAGUUGGGACAGGACCACAGGAGGAACCUGGAGGCAGGAACUGAAUGAAGCAGAGACCAUGGGGGAAUGAGGCUUUGGCUUGCUCAGCCUACUUUCUUAUAAAAUCUAGGAGGACUACCUUCCCAGAGGUGACAGAGCUUCCAAUAGGCUGGGCCCUACCAUAUUAAUCUUAAAAAAGAAAAAAGAAAAAAAAAAAAGAAAAAAGAAGCCCCAACAGAACUGCAUACAGGCCAAACUGAUGGAGAUCUUUUCUCAAUUGUGCUGCUUCUUCCCAGAUAUUUUAUCUUGUGCCAACUUGACAUAAAACUACCUAGGACACCUUCUUUGCUCUCCUCUCUGUUUCACUCAGCCUAGUAGGCAAAUUGGGAGGUGGGUGUCCUCUAAGAUGCUCCUCUGCCUUAGGGAGGGCUGUGCUGCUGCAGAGCGCUUGGUGGGUUAGUGCAGGUGGCUCCUGCUGCCCCUCAUGCUUCCCAACACUGUGAUAUUUGGGAAGUCAGUACCGAGUCCAGUCCUGACUCUAGGUUGGAAUCCCUAGCCAGGACACAGGCAUGGGAGCAGCAUCACUACUUGCUUGGGAGGCCAGUCAGGCCUACUGGCCUCCCCUCCUGGGUAAGGUUUGCUUCCCUGUGGGCCAAAUAGAAUGCCCAAUCACACUGAUGCAGAACUGAGCUUGCCUCGGGGCCACACUGAGACUCUGGUUUCUAUCUGCAUACCUCCUUUACCAGUGAACAACCAUUCCCCAGAGCCCAGCACAAGGACAUUAAGUAAGAGGAACCAACACAGAGUGUGUUAAUGGAGCUCAUAAUAGGACAAUGCCAUACAGGUGACAGGACUGCUCACAGAAAGCCUUCCUCUGAGAAGAUUUAGGCCAUGACCCAGCUAACUGGAUGGUAAGCAUCCUUGGAUCCUGGGAGUAGUCCCAGUUAUUUGGAACAGCAGAGAGGCUAGAGCGGGGAAAGCAGCGCUGCAAGAGCGGGCUGGAGAAGGGACCUGGAAACAGAUAAGGAGUGGCGUCUCCCUACAGCACAGUGAGGAGAAUGGACUCAGGGACUGUGAGGAAGCAGAGGGUUAGGAAGAGAGCAGGGUGCUGGACACCCAUGAGUGCAUUUAAGGCAGACAAAAGGAGCUAUCUUAUUCUUGGGCAUCUUUAGAUUGGCCAUGCUAAUUUGACACCCUAGCCAGAAUGCAUUGUGGUUAUUAGAACCAGGUACUUUGGAGAUGAAUUACACAUGCUAAACCAACCUACACAACCUACUGUCACCUUACAAAUGAGGAGGUUCUAACAGCUCCCUUUAUCCAAGGCUUCACCUGCAGUCCAGAAAUAUUAAAUGGAAAAUCAGAGAAGUUACAGAUGGUUAUGAGCUGUUACUUGGGUGCUGGGAAUCAGAUUCAGGUCUUCUGGAAAAGCAGCCAGUGCUCUUAACUUUUGAGCCAUGUCUCCAGCCCAAUAGUCACUAAGCUUUAAGUUGUGUGUGUUUCUACCUCACCUAGGGUGUGAACCAUCACUUUGUCCACCGUGACUGCCAUGUUUAUGCCACCUUCCCAUUAAGCACUUAGCAAUUAAUCUCAGCAGGUUUCCUGACAAGGGUACAAUAGGGCGUGGCAUGAUCUGAGGCUUCAGAUAUCAACCUGGGUCGCUGGUGAUUCUUAGAAGCAUUUCAAGGAGGGGUGGGGACCACUGGAAUCAGUAUGGCCCAGUGAUUCUUGGCAGUAUUGCACAUGCAACCAGACUGGGUUGGGGUGAGGGGCAGUUGGGGUCAGUAUGGCCUAGUGAUACCUGGCACUAUUGCAUGCAAUCAGAUAUAUGCUUUAGGAAAUGGUUGCUACACAGGAUGUCCAGUAGCCCCCUUCCCACAUCAGAGACACCCAAAGGGCAGGCUUGUUGGAAAUAACAACAGAGGCAUUUUUUUUUAAUUCAUUAAGGUAAGAGUCUUGGUACCCUUUCCAGUGACAAACACUUAUCUUAGUAAGAAAUCCUCUCGAGGAAUUCGAAGGCAGGGAGGCAAGGUUGGGUUACCCAGUUGCAGCUGAAGGAGUAAAUGGUGAUGGACCCAGACUUCUUUGUGUUUGGAUGGAAAACACAGCUAACUCUGUGACUGUCAGAUGGCAGAGUCUCUCAGGGCACAUGGUGGUGACUUUAAGGCUCCUGAGCACCACAUGUGGGAAAGUCCCAGAAGAACUCAUGAGUUGCCUUGGACCCACAGGCCUUGAGUUGAGUAUGAUAUGCAUUAUGACAGCCACAGCAUGGGGUGUGGGUUUGACAAGGGCAAGAAGUGUUUGUCUUGUCAAGAAAAACCCAUUGUGGCAACAGAGCAUGGGCAAGGAGAGACGGGGGACUCAUGGGAGGGAUGGUAAGGCUGAGCUCCAGGUGGGUUUUAUCCUAGAAUUGACUGAAAAAGAACCAACUUGACAUGGUUAAAACAGCAGCUGCAAUGGGGACUCUUUCUUCAAGCGCCCCUACCACCUCCACCCCCUGCCACCUUUGGUGUGCCAACUGCAGUAGUCUGUGUUGUGCAAUAGGAAUUUUGGACUGUGCUUCUACUUAGAACAAGACAGCUCAGGCAGAAGCUCAGUUCUUGAAGAGCAGCAAGCUGUUGCUUUCUACAGGAAAUUGGUAAGUGAAAUCACUUUAGGAUUCACAGCUUAAUGGACUACAGUCAGAAAACCACCCACAGUUCUGCUGGGCACGCUUCAAUUGCUGCUUCUGCUCACAGAGAAGGGAAACAAAUCGCUUGCUUCAUCAAGAUAAGCCACAGUAGAGAUCUAUGGGCCAUCUGUGCAUCUGUGGGCGUGGUUCUCUUGGACCUCCUGAGACUGUGAUGCUCGUUGCUGGCAACCCCAGAGAGUAUCAAGGCACCCAGCACAUUACUAACCCUCUGCUUUGUGGAAGGCAGAACAUCAACAGUGAAGUAUGGAUAGCAGAAGAGAAUGUUGGCCCAAUCAGAGUCCUGCUUUCUCUCAUCAGUGUCUCUCUGGUGACACUUGGGAAUGUUUUUCAGCUCUCUUCAAAACACCCAGUUAUUAUUUCCACAAGAAACAGACUGGAAGAGCAUCUCCCUCAUUUCCACCUCUGCCCAAGUCCAGAAAUGUUCUAUCGAUCACUGUUGACAAAGAAAGCUCAGCAAUUCAGUUGCCCAGUACCUUCUCAGAUAUAUAGUCUUCCAAGGAUGAUUUCUUCUGGGGAGGCCCAUUCACUGGCACCCACCAUUCACACAUGGCUGGUCAUACUGGUGCUUUCAGGGUUGGACAACUGCGGAAGCUGGUGGAAGCAGAGCCGUCCCGGAGCUUCAGGAUCACAGGUUUUAAAGCCUUUCUUUUGAGCACUAACACAAAGGCGCUUGUGAAGUGGUUGGCCUCACUGCCAUAGGCUUGUAUGGAGAGGCAGAUAAAGGGAGCAGGAUGCGGGGCCAGUUUAUCAACUUCACCAGAGAGACAAAAGGACAGAUUAAAGGUCCUCUGGAAGCAGGAGGAAGAGUGAACACUUGCGAUUUGGAGACUUUUUUGCAAGGGACUUGGGGUUGAUGAAGAGGAUGCAUGGCAGGAGUUUGGAGGUUCUCUCUAACCUUGUGAGCAUCCUACCUUCAAGCACAGACACUGGGAGAAGCUGCAUUUGAAGGGGAAAAAGUACAAAGCUUUGGCCCUUCUGUAACUACUUCGCUGGAAGUUUGAGGCCCCCACAGCUUCUUCCCAGAAUUCAAACUCCCCUUAGCGCACAUCCCAAGCUCUUCUCAGCCUCAGGCUCCAGUUUUACCUAUCAUCUCCAGUGCCAAUUCUAUGGGCAUUCUGCACUAGGCACUGUGUGCAUCUGAGGCUGUCCAGCCAAGGCCUGCUCUAUCCCUGCACCCAGGAGGCACUGGAAUGGUACCCUAAAAGGUAACAUCACAGUCAACAGUGAUAUUAAUAAGAACUGAACAAACAAGCAGUUAGUUUGCAAUUAUAAUUGCAGAUGCACAUCAGCAACACAGUUACAGCUACUUUUUUCACAGCCUUUUUCUGUCUUAAUGUUGGACACCGUGUAAAUUAUAGGGUUCUGAAUAUUGUUUGCUAAUAUUUCCACAAAA